UAAUGCUCGUCUUUAUAUCCACACUUCCAUUUAUUUCGCAUUUUAAUGGAUCUAUGGAGGCCAUUGGCGCUGAGGCUGCCGACUGCUGCUAUGUCAAGUAUGAUUGGGCUUCCUUCAGAUCUUGUGCUUGUCGAGGAUCAUGAUUGCUUGAGAUGGAUCAGAAACUAUACUGACAAUCAGGAUAUGUUCUAUGAGGAUUUUGAGAAUGCGUAUAUCAAGCUGUGAAUUCCGGUGCAAGAUGGAAAACCUCAUGAUGCUUUUUGAGAAUGAGAAAGGCAGGAUAGAAAUCUACAAUCCCCAGCCCAACUUUCAAGUUUCAACCACGAAAGGUAUUCCUAGCUUUUUAAAUUAUGUGAUCCCUCCGGAUGACCCACUUGGUAAUUAAGUCAAGUCAAUGAAAUCAUCACGCAUUGUUUUUGUUGUGACUUUAUUUAUAAAU